UAGGGAAUAUUGCGCAAUGGACGAAAGUCUGACGCAGCGACGCCGCGUGUGGGAGGAAGCCUUUCGGGGUGUAAACCACUGUCAGAGGGGAAGAAUCCCGACGGUCAGAAUAUGGCCGACGGCUGACGGUACCCUCAGAGGAAGCGCCGGCUAACUCCGUGCCAGCAGCCGCGGUAAGACGGAGGGCGCAAGCGUUGUUCGGAAUUACUGGGCGUAAAGGGCGGGCAGGCGGUCCGUUAAGUCUUCUGUGAAAAUCCGGGGCUCAACCCCGUGAAAUGCAGGAGAAACUGGCGGACUAGAGACCGGUAGAGGCUAGCGGAAUUCCUGGUGUAGCGGUGGAAUGCGUAGAUAUCAGGAAGAACACCUGUGGCGAAGGCGGCUAGCUGGGCCGGAUCUGACGCUCAUCCGCGAAAGCGUGGGGAGCAAACAGG
rnacentral:rRNA from 1 species